rnacentral:lncRNA from 1 species
CGGUUGGCGACUCCCGGACGUAGGCACGUGUGGUUCUCAAAUAUAGGCAUUCUGAUGGGAACUUGUGUGUUAAAGUAACAGAUGAUUUAGUUUGUUUGGUGUAUAAAACAGACCAAGCUCAAGAUGUAAAGAAGAUUGAGAAAUUCCACAGUCAACUAAUGCGACUUAUGGUAGCCAAGGAAGCCCGCAAUGUUACCAUGGAAACUGAGUGAAUGGUUUGAAAUGAAGACUUUGUCGUGUACUUAGGAAGUAAAUAUCUUUUGAAUUAGAGAAAGUGUUGGGACAGAAAGUACUUUAUGUAACUAAGUG